AAAUUUUCUCUAUGCAGGAAAAACCCUGCGCACACUAUAAAUCGACUUGCAAAGUUUUCCCAUCAUUUCUACUGUAUUACUGAUAAAUAAUUUGACAAUAUACAAUCUUAUGCCUGUUUGCCUUCAUGAACUGCAAAACAUUCGCAACAGAGAACUCUUCAGAAGUUACUGUAUUGAGUUUAAACAUAUUUUAAGAGAAAACAUACCUUGAGCAUGUGCAUGUUGCACUUCGAUGUGGCCAACCAAAACAUUUAUUGGUUUCUGGAGAUGCACCGAUCAGGUUUUUGGUGCCGAUCACCGAUCACUGAAAUCAGUAUCUGCCGAUCCGAUAAUACCGAUCACGGUAUUGAUUGAAGCAUUCUAUUUAUUGUGUAGCAUUAUUGAUAUGAGGACUAUGAGGAAAUACAUAUAAAAAGCAACUCAAACAUUAAAGAAAUUAUCGAUUUCUUUAAACAUUUAGGACUUUUACUUUGAAAAAUGUCCUAAUUGAUACAUUAAAAUUGUUUGAUUGCUAUUGUAGGGGAUUUCAGUUAUGUAUGGAACACAUCUGCAUCAUUCAUUUCCUGGAACUCUUGGGGAAAUCUAUAUACAGGACUUUUCUUAACAUACAAAAGUCUGACUAUUUUUUAUAAACUCUUCCUUGGUACAGUAAAAAUGUUUUAAUGUUAGCAUAAUUUAAGCUAAAUUUCAGAAACGAUCUCUAAAGAUACAAAAUCAGUUCAUUGUUUACUUUUAUAUGUUCGUGUAUGAUUUGUCGACAUCUUAUUUUGAAAAACGGAUGUUGUUUCACGUGGUUCUUUACGCUAACUUUGCAAAACCGGAUGUUGUCACUUAAAUCCUUCCGCUAACUUUAUCAAAACCGUCGCGCGCUCCCGUUCGAAUGUGUUUAGCGUGAGCAUCAGGCUCUAGGGGCUCAGACAUGUGAGAGUCGGCUGAGUUGACCCAGAGAUUCAACUCGGGGGACGGGGACGCCGCUCGGUGGUGAGGAUCCCCUCUGACCUCUCACUCUGCGGCCCUCGCCGGGCGCAUCGUCUCCGUUGCGGUGCGCCGCGAUUGAAACGUCUCUGAUAGUUCUCGCAGAUUUUAUGUCAUCUGAUCGGACAAGUUUGAUCGGCCGUUUUGAGAACGCCGAUCAAAACCAAUAAGGGGAAUAUCGGCCGAUAUGGAUCGGCGCCGAUCAUAUCGGUGCAUCCCUAAUAUUUAUGUAUUUUGUUUCUAUUAUUUCUUUACGUUUCUUUAUAUUAUUUUCUGGGAUUUUACUUCUGUUCAUUUUUGCUGUUUAUUAUUGACAAUGUGAAACUGUUUAAAGACAAAAUACUUGCAACGUCGAUAUCGCUGCUUCCACAACUUCCGGCUUUUGCUCCGGUCAGCUGACCCUGAACUGGCCAAUCAGAAGUGCCUCUCUGUGGUAAAUCCCGGGUUGUUUUGAUAGGGACGCACAGUGCUGAGCGGUUCACACCAGAGAGACCGCGGGGAGACAUGACGGUGGAGACCUCCGUAAGAGGUGGUAUUGUAGAAGUAUUACUCCUUCAUGAUUCAACUAUAAUAUUCUGAUGUACCUGGCUUAAUGUUUUUAUUGUUUUGACUCGUCUUUAUCUUUUGUUAUUUGUUUUUGUAUUGUGUCUUUUUGUAAAGCCUCAAUGUACAUUAUUUACAUGCUUUAAGUUAAGUUUAUGAUAAUAAACACAUUAUUAUAAACACAGUAUUUUUGCUGAAGUUUUGUGAUGGUCUAAAAAUAAUAAUAAAAUACUCUGCUUUAAAUGGUAA